AGCUUUGCGCAGUUGCAGUAUCGUAGCCAAUGAAGUUUAUCCAAGGCACGAUUAUUGCUAAUUGAAAACUUUUUCCAAAUGUUGAGGAGACUCCUUAGUGCCCAAGAAAGUGUUGGCUUGUGUCCUUGUCCCCAUCCAGCAC